GACGAACGCUGGCGGCGUGCUUAACACAUGCAAGUCGAACGGAAAGGCCCUGCUUUUGUGGGGUGCUCGAGUGGCGAACGGGUGAGUAACACGUGAGUAACCUGCCCUUGACUUUGGGAUAACUUCAGGAAACUGGGGCUAAUACCGGAUAGGAGCUCCUGCUGCAUGGUGGGGGUUGGAAAGUUUCGGCGGUUGGGGAUGGACUCGCGGCUUAUCAGCUUGUUGGUGGGGUAGUGGCUUACCAAGGCUUUGACGGGUAGCCGGCCUGAGAGGGUGACCGGCCACAUUGGGACUGAGAUACGGCCCAGACUCCUACGGGAGGCAGCAGUGGGGAAUAUUGCACAAUGGGCGGAAGCCUGAUGCAGCAACGCCGCGUGCGGGAUGACGGCCUUCGGGUUGUAAACCGUUUUCGCCUGUGACGAAGCGUGAGUGACGGUAAUGGGUAAAGAAGCACCGGCUAACUACGUGCCAGCAGCCGCGGUGAUACGUAGGGUGCGAGCGUUGUCCGGAUUUAUUGGGCGUAAAGGGCUCGUAGGUGGUUGAUCGCGUCGGAAGUGUAAUCUUGGGGCUUAACCCUGAGCGUGCUUUCGAUACGGGUUGACUUGAGGAAGGUAGGGGAGAAUGGAAUUCCUGGUGGAGCGGUGGAAUGCGCAGAUAUCAGGAGGAACACCAGUGGCGAAGGCGGUUCUCUGGGCCUUUCCUGACGCUGAGGAGCGAAAGCGUGGGGAGCGAACAGGCUUAGAUACCCUGGUAGUCCACGCUGUAAACGGUGGGUACUAGGUGUGGGGUCCAUUCCACGGGUUCCGUGCCGUAGCUAACGCUUUAAGUACCCCGCCUGGGGAGUACGGCCGCAAGGCUAA
rnacentral:rRNA from 1 species